ACCGCGAUAGCUCAGCUGGUAGAGCGUUCGCCCGGUACGUGGAGGGUUGCCAGUUCGGUUCUGGCUCGCGGAG
rnacentral:tRNA from 1 species